ACUCAAUUAUGAGCAAAGGGUUCUUAAUCAGGGAUGGCAAGAAGAGAAGCAUUUGGUUUUUUCUUGACAAAAAUGGGAAGAAAUGUCAUAUGCUAUCAGCAAGCGCGACUGCCACAUGGGACCUGUACUCGUACAAGCUGACUUUACCUGAAUCAAGAUUUGGAGAAGCCUUUCAGUGUAUUUUUCGGAUUCCUAAUA